CUCACCCGCUAGUAUUAUACAGAGGGUAAACCCUAACCUAGCACUCCCUCUCACUGUCCUGUCUCUUUAUCUCUUCCGCCUCCUACGUCGUCGCCUCUGGUGGCGCAACCGGCGACCACCACUGCCGCCGCCACCACCUCCUCUCUCACCGUUCUCUCUCUCUUCGCCUAUUAUCUUCACCGAUCUUCACUGGUCGUCUAUUUCGUCUUCUCCACUCUCGUCAUCGGUUCCAAAACCCUAACCCUACAUUCGAUGUUCUCCAAUUCCUCUACAAGCCAUAUGUUCAAAUCCAGACCCUACACUCCCCUCAACUGUUUCAGAACCCUUGUCUACAAAGGACUACCACCGGACUCGUCAGAAUGGCGAUCUCGAACGGGCUGAUUACGAUGAGAAGGAUCAGGCGGCGGGCCACAUUAAUGCCUCAGAAACGAAAUUGGAGGAUGGACGGUUCAUCUUUGCCCUAAUUUUUCUCUCCAUUUUAUGUGGUGCAUUUAGGUUCACUGGCAAGAAACUCUGUGAGGCUAUGUCGCAGGAGUAUUAACAACUCAAAAGAGUUCUAAUUGUUUCAGCAGAUCUAGAUAUAUUGGCUAGCAGUUCUACAAAAUUUGAUAAGGAACUUCCUUUAAUAUCCUUAGAUGGAAAACUUAUUGCAUAUUGGCUACUUUUCUGAUAGUUACACUUUUUGUUAUAUGACAUGGUUAAUAGUUAUUAAAAUUGUUUGGUCUUUAACCUAUGAUUACUUUAGAUCCCUUCUCUGGGUUGGACCUGCACUUCUAUUUUCAACUGCCACUGCAAUCAGCGUGCUUGGGUGGGAUGGAAAAGUGAGGACAAUUCUUUCUAUUAGGAUGCCCAAUGCAGCUUUGUACUAUACCACUGCUUUUCUGAGCCAUCAAGAUGAACUUCUGUACAGUGCUGUUUGGUGCAUUGAAUGAUCGAUUGUUGCUCGCAAACCUAACAAAGAUAAAUCUGAAACAGAAAAGGGGGUUUAGAUAAAGAGCUGUCUUGUUGGGCUUCUCGAACCUCUUCUUAUUGGAUUUGCCACAAUGUAACAGAGUUUUGAGCAGAAACUAGACUUGUCAGAAAUAUUGUAUCAAAUAACAUCCAGGUUUUCCUUUCCCCUACUAGUAGGCAUGUGUUUUGUCACAUAUACAACUCCUUUGGAUAUUCAACACUUGUUGGAUUCUGUUAUCCUUUUCA